rnacentral:rRNA from 1 species
GAUGAACGCUGGCGGCGUGCCUAAUACAUGCAAGUCGAGCGAAUGGAUUAAGAGCAUGCUCUUAUGAAGUUAGCGGCGGACGGGUGAGUAACACGUGGGUAACCUGCCCAUAAGACUGGGAUAACUCCGGGAAACCGGGGCUAAUACCGGAUAACAUUUUGAACCGCAUGGUUCGAAAUUGAAAGGCGGCUUCGGCUGUCACUUAUGGAUGGACCCGCGUCGCAUUAGCUAGUUGGUGAGGUAACGGCUCACCAAGGCAACGAUGCGUAGCCGACCUGAGAGGGUGAUCGGCCACACUGGGACUGAGGCACGGCCCAGACUCCUACGGGAGGCAGCAGUAGGGAAUCUUCCGCAAUGGACGAAAGUCUGACGGAGCAACGCCGCGUGAGUGAUGAAGGCUUUCGGGUCGUAAAACUCUGUUGUUAGGGAAGAACAAGUGCUAGUUGAAUAAGCUGGCACCUUGACGGUACCUAACCAGAAAGCCACGGCUAACUACGUGCCAGCCGCCGCGGUAA